rnacentral:rRNA from 1 species
GAUGAACGCUGGCGGCGUGCCUAACACAUGCAAGUCGAACGGAGUCCCGCCUUUAAGACCUUCGGGUCGAAGGGGGGAAGCCUGAGUGUCACACGGGUGAGUCACACGUGGGCAACCUGGCUCAUAGAGGGGAAUAAGAGAGAGAACUUUCUGCUAAUAUCGCACAAGCACACACUUCCGCAUGGCAGGGGGUGAUGUGAGAAUUGGUAUGAGCUGGACCCGAUUCUGAUUAGCCUGUUGGCAGGGGAAGAGCCUACCAAAGCGACGAUCAGAACCCGAGCUGAGAGAAUGAACGGACACAUUUGGACUAAGACACAGCCCGAACUCCUACGCGAGGCAGGAGUGGGGGACAUUGCACAAUGGGGGGAACCCUGAUGCAGCGACGCCGGGUGAGUGAAGAAGUAUGUCGGUAAGUAAAGCGCUAUCAGCAGGGAAGAUAAUGACGGUACCUGAAUAAGAAGCCCCGGCUAACUACGUG